CGCACCGCUCGAGCCCCGCGGCUCGGUGUCGGGACGCUAGUGGCUUCGGCCGCUAGGUCCCCAGAUGUAUCGCGCGGCCCCAGGCUAAGGACCCGAGCACAGUAAACACUUUGUUGGCUGCUCUGGGAACCGGCCCGAGGCGCCUGCCGUAAAAACCCCGACAUAGGCCCCUAGGGCCGACUGA
rnacentral:misc_RNA from 1 species